rnacentral:hammerhead_ribozyme from 1 species
GUCCAGCUGACGAGACCCAAAUAGGACGAAACGCGCGUCCUGGAU